rnacentral:rRNA from 1 species
AGAGUUUGAUCCUGGCUCAGAGCGAACGCUGGCGGCAGGCUUAACACAUGCAAGUCGAGCGGGCGCAGCAGUGCGUCAGCGGCAGACGGGAGAGUAACACGUGGGAACGCGCCCUUCGGUUCGGAAUAACUCAGGGAAACUUGAGCUAAUACCGGAUACGCCCUAACGGGGAAAGAUUUAUUGCCGAAGGAACGGCCCGCGUCUGAUUAGCUAGUUGGUGAGGUAAUGGCUCACCAAGGCGACGAUCAGUAGCUGGUCUGAGAGGAUGGCCAGCCUCACUGGGACUGAGACACGGCCCAGACUCCUACGGGAGGCAGCAGUGGGGAAUAUUGGACAAUGGGCGCAAGCCUGAUCCAGCCAUGCCGCGUGGAUGAUGAAGGCCCUAGGGUUGUAAAGUCCUUUUAACGGGGAAGAUAAUGACGGUACCCGUAGAAUAAGCCCCGGCUAACUUCGCGCCAGCCGCCGCGGUAAUUC